UAAGACGUAGGGGCCGAGCGUUGUCCGGAGUUACUGGGCGUAAAGCGCGCGCAGGCGGUGGAUCGCAUCGAUGGUGAAAGCCCCCCGCUCAACGGGGGAGGGUCCGUCGAGAUGGAUGCACUGGAGGCAGGGAGAGGCCGGUGGAAUUCCGGGUGUAGUGGUGAAAUGCGUAGAGAUCCGGAGGAACACCAGUGGCGAAGGCGGCCGGCUGGACCUGACCUGACGCUGAGGCGCGAAGGCGUGGGGAGCGAACGGG
rnacentral:rRNA from 1 species